GACAGAGGCCCCGAGCGUUAAUCGGAAUUACUGGGCUUAAAGGGUGCGUAGGUGGACCAGCAAGUGCUUUGUGAAAGCCCCCGGCUCAACCGGGGAACAGCGGGGCAUACUGCUGGUCUUGAGGAAGGUAGGGGCCGCGAGAACUGUAGGUGGAGCGGUGAAAUGCGUAGAUAUCUACAGGAAUGCCGAUGGUGAAGACGCGCGGCUGGGCCUUUCCUGACCACUGAGGCACGAAAGCGUGGGGAGCAAACAGG
rnacentral:rRNA from 1 species